CUUGACAUCCAGCGAACUUGGCAGAGAUGCCUUGGUGCCUUCGGGAACGCUGAGACAGGUGCUGCAUGGCUGUCGUCAGCUCGUGUUGUGAAAUGUUGGGUUAAGUCCGCAACGAGCGCAACCCUUACCCUUUGUUGCCAGCGAUUCGGUCGGGAACUCAAAGGAGACUGCCGGUGAUAAACCGGAGGAAGGUGGGGAUGACGUCAAGUCAUCAUGGCCCUUACGAGUAGGGCUACACACGUGCUACAAUGGCGCAUACAAAGAGAAGCGACCUCGCGAGAGCAAGCGGACCUCAUAAAGUGCGUCGUAGUCCGGAUCGGAGUCUGCAACUCGACUCCGUGAAGUCGGAAUCGCUAGUAAUCGUGGAUCAGAAUGCCACGGUGAAUACGUUCCCGGGCCUUGUACACACCGCCCGUCACACCAUGGGAGUGGGUUGCAAAAGAAGUAGGUAGCUUAACCUCCGGGAGGGCGCUUACCACUUUGUGAUUCAUGACUGGGGUGAAGUCGUAACAAGGUAGGCGUAGCGAG
rnacentral:rRNA from 1 species